rnacentral:rRNA from 1 species
UACGUAGGGGGCAAGCGUUGUCCGGAAUCAUUGGGCGUAAAGAGCGUGUAGGCGGCUAGACAGGUCUGCUGUGAAAACUCGAGGCUCAACCUCGAGAUGUCGGCGGAAACCGUCUGGCUAGAGUCCGGAAGAGGAGAGUGGAAUUCCUGGUGUAGCGGUGAAAUGCGCAGAUAUCAGGAAGAACACCUAUGGCGAAGGCAGCUCUCUGGGACGGUACUGACGCUGAGACGCGAAAGCGUGGGGAGCGAACAGG